rnacentral:rRNA from 1 species
GACGAACGCUGGCGGCGUGCUUAACACAUGCAAGUCGAACGGAAAGGCCCUGCUUUUGUGGGGUGCUCGAGUGGCGAACGGGUGAGUAACACGUGAGUAACCUGCCCUUGACUUUGGGAUAACUUCAGGAAACUGGGGCUAAUACCGGAUAGGAGCUCCUGCUGCAUGGUGGGGGUUGGAAAGUUUCGGCGGUUGGGGAUGGACUCGCGGCUUAUCAGCUUGUUGGUGGGGUAGUGGCUUACCAAGGCUUUGACGGGUAGCCGGCCUGUGAGGGUGACCGGCCACAUUGGGUCUGAGAUACGGCCCAGACUCCUACGGGAGGCAGCAGUGGGGAGUAUUGCACAAUGGGCGGAAGCAUGAUGCAGCAACGCCGCGUGCGGGAUGACGGCCUUCGGGUUGUAAACAGAUUUCGCCUGUGACGAAGCGUGAGUGCCGGUACUGGGUAAAGAAGCACCGGCUAAUUCCGU